UACAGAGACUGCGAGCGUUAUUCGGAUUCACUGGGCGUAAAGGGUGCGCAGGCGGCCAUGUGUGUGAGGCGUGAAAGCCCGGGGCUUAACCCCGGAAUUGCACCUCAAACUACAUGGCUAGAGCAUUGGAGAGGGUAGCAGAAUUCAUGGUGUAGCAGUGAAAUGCGUAGAGAUCGGGAGGAACACCUGUGGCGAAGGCGGCCGACUGGGCCGACCCUGACGCUGAGGCGCGAAGGCGUGGGGAGCGAACGGG
rnacentral:rRNA from 1 species